AAAUUGAUGCACUCAGUGGGGGAGCCAGGAAGUAUUGAUGUUUCUGCCAGUUUAGCGUCAACACUUGCUGGUUUCCUCUCUGGAGCAUCA
ensembl:miRNA MIR505 microRNA 505